CCAGGGCCUUCUGGAAUGACUCAGAAAUGAUGGUUGGAUGAAUCCCUGUAAUUUGUGAAAGUCUAGUUAUUUAAUUGUAACAGUAAUAAAGUACAUCCUACCCACCUUUCUGAAGAAGCUUGGUACAAGAAUCUAAGAGGGAGCCAGCAAUGAUGACUACUGAUGUGGUGCCAUCUCCUGCUUCUAUAUCUUGAGCCUUAGACAGCUCCACCAGCUAAGUGAACAGAAAAUGCCAAGUUGCUCAAUGAGAAAUGACAGAACCCAGUAACACCUAAUUCAAAUAAUCGCACCAGUGUCACAAACAGAAUUUGAAGAUGCAACAUGAUUCCUGAUUUCUUCUGAUUUGUUGUCUACCUUGGGUUUCAUUUAAAAUUAAAGACUAGUAGAUGAUCUCCA